GGCAAAGUAGAAGGAAGUUUAACUGUGAAGUCACAGGUAGUAGUUAAGUGAGUGGCAGGUGAUUGGGAUUUGACAGGAUUUGCAGCAGAGUGGAAAGGUACAUUAAGCAUACAGCCAGAGUGGCACACAGAAGAAAACAAUUGAAUGGACAGUAGCCAAUUAAAAAUGAACUGAGACAGCAGUGACGGAUUAAAAAGAAAAUGUAAAACAAAAAUAAACAGCAGCAUCAUAGAUGGAGAAAGACCAAAAAGUCAGCUGGAGCCUGGCAAGAAGAAAACAAAGAAAAUAGAACAAAGAUAAAGGAAAGCUACAGUUAUGAUUUGACUUCCAGUAAAUUGCAAAAUCAUAUAUUGAAAGAUGAGAAAACUGCUGUUCCCACAAUUUGCUACUCAUCAUAAUGUAUGUUCAACAAUGAACCAAAAAUGUUAGUGCUCCAAAGGAAUACAGUUUCUUAUGGUCAUUAUGGAUUUCUAGAUAUUCACAGAUGAUAGGCAUAUUUCAAUUUAAUCAGAAAGCUUGCUCAACCUUAAACUGCACAAGUUCUCCAAAUUAUUAAAAUGUACAAUCACCUCAGCAAAUGAACAACUGACAAUUUUUGUGUUUUAUAAAUUUGGCCUAUAUUAUCCAGAGUUUAUAAGAACGAGAGGUGAUCUCAAUGAAACAUUUGUUAUAAUGAAACUGCUAGACACAGGUAGAUACUGAAAGUUUGUUUUCCAUUCACCAUUCCAAUGCCUCUACCAAUCAACACACUCCUCUUGUACUGAAUAAAAGUCAUCUUCCCUUCACUCUGGUAA